rnacentral:rRNA from 1 species
UACAGAGGGUGCAAGCGUUGUUCGGAAUCACUGGGCGUAAAGGGCGCGUAGGCGGCGUUUUAAGUCGGGGGUGAAAGCCUGUGGCUCAACCACAGAAUGGCCUUCGAUACUGGGACGCUUGAGUAUGGUAGAGGUUGGUGGAACUGCGAGUGUAGAGGCGAAAUUCGUAGAUAUUCGCAAGAACACCGGUGGCGAAGGCGGCCAACUGGACCAUUACUGACGCUGAGGCGCGAAAGCGUGGGGAGCAAACAGG